GAAAUGUAUGGGACGUACCAUACGGAAGCCUCAUGGGCUGUGUUAUGACAGGUUUUGUUCCUUAUCCUAAGGAUGGGAAGGGUAUUGCCUGAUCAGAUUUGCAUAUUAAGAAAUCACUCCGCUUGAAGUGGUGCUGCAGAGGACAGCAAGCUUCCAAGGAAGAUGGAAGAGCAAUGACCAGAAGGAAAGGAGAAAAAGAGAAUGGAGAAAUGUUAUGGAGGCCAGAUGGAGAGAAAGAUCUUGAAGGAAAAGGGAAUAGAAAACAUUCUAAGGCUGCUGAGAUGUUGGGUAAAGAUGACAUCUGAAAGCAGAAAGACUGAAAAGCUGCUGACCAGAGGAUUGUCUUUCCUCUGUGGAAUGGGAGGCUCAGCUCUCUGAGGAGCUCGAGGAGUAGAGGGAGGAGGAGAAGAAGGAUGUAAGAUGUGAGAUGAACAAAGGAUGUGAAACAGUCAAGAAAGAAACUAGAUGGAAUGAUGGAAGGACUUUCUCGUGAUUGCUCAUGGUCAGUUCACUCCAAUUUCACUGGGACUUACCUAGUUUUAGCCUUGAAAAUUCCCCACAGUGGGACCCCUCGCUCCAGGCAAACCAGACACUUGGUUGCCUGAGUGGACGGAUCCAUUUGUGGUUUAUGAUCAAGAACUAGUAAUGGGGGCACCUGGGUGGCUCAGUCAUUAAGAGUCUGCCUUUGGCUCAGGGCGUGAUCCCCGUGUUCUGGGAUCGAGCCCCACAUCAGGCUCCUACGCUGGGAGCC